rnacentral:rRNA from 1 species
UACGAAGGGGGCUAGCGUUGUCCGGAUUUAUUGGGCGUAAAGAGCGUGUAGGCGGCUUUGCAAGUCCGUUGUGAAAACUCGAGGCUCAACCUCGAGACGCCGGUGGAAACUGCAAAGCUAGAGUCCGGAAGAGGAGAGUGGAAUUCCUGGUGUAGCGGUGAAAUGCGCAGAUAUCAGGAAGAACACCCGUGGCGAAGGCGGCUCUCUGGGACGGUACUGACGCUGAGACGCGAAAGCGUGGGGAGCGAACAGG